rnacentral:ncRNA from 2 species
UUGAAGGAUAUAAGAGACGACUUUAAAGGUGGCCGAAGGGACAAACUUUAUUUUAUCCCAAUGAAAUAAAGUGAAAUUCUCAGGCAAAAGAAUUAUAUCUGGAUA